rnacentral:rRNA from 1 species
AGAACUUUGAAGAGAGAGUUCAAGAGUACGUGAAACUGAAGUGGUGUAAACGGACGAGUUCGAAAAGUCCGAAUGGUGAGAUUCAAGCUUACCGUGCCGGUGGCCCUCGGGUUCAGAUGGCGUCGUCAGCUCGGGCUUCGGUUCGGGUCAUACGGCGUCACUCGUCCUGGGGGUAUCUGUCUGGUGCGGUGGGCUGCACUUCUCGCCUAGUAGGACGUCGCGACCCGUUGGGAUGUUCCGUUCACUGGCCCUCGGUGGAGCCCGCGCCGGAGCGUGGCCUUGUGCCGCGUUGCUGUUUGCACGGACCCGGGGUGACCUGAUCGGCGCCCGACGGUAUCAAAGCUUGGGAAGAGGCCGCACAGAGGAUGCGUUCGAUGGCCGUUUCGGCCUACACUCGGACAGGCCUGCACCCGGUCAGCGGCGCUUCUGCUUUCGAUACUCGUCCGACCCGUCUUG